CUACGGGGCGCACCAGUGGGGAAUAUUGGACAAUGGGGGAAACCCUGAUCCAGCAAUGCCGCGUGUGUGAAGAAGGCCUGCGGGUUGUAAAGCACUUUCGGUUGGGAGGACUGCUUCUAGCACUAAUAUUGUUGGAAGUUGACGUUACCUUCAGCAGAAGCACCGGCUAACUCCGUGCCAGCAGCCGCGGUAAUACGGAGGGUGCAAGCGCUAAUCGGAAUUACUGGGCGUAAAGCGCGCGUAGGCGGCUAGAUCAGUCGGGUGUGAAAGCCCCGGGCUUAACCUGGGAACUGCAUCCGAUACUGUCUAGCUUGAGUACAGGAGAGGAGAGUGGAAUUCCACAUGUAGCGGUGAAAUGCGUAGAUAUGUGGAGGAGCACCAAUGGCGAAGGCAGCUCUCUGGCCUGAUACUGACGCUGAGGUGCGAAAGCGUGGGGAGCAAACAGGAUUAGAUACCCUUGUAGUC
rnacentral:rRNA from 1 species